rnacentral:rRNA from 1 species
UACGAAGGGUGCAAGCGUUACUCGGAAUUACUGGGCGUAAAGCGUGCGUAGGUGGUGAGUUAAGUCUGUCGUGAAAGCCCCGGGCUCAACCUGGGAAUGGCGAUGGAUACUGGCUCGCUAGAGUGCGGUAGAGGAGAGUGGAAUUCCCGGUGUAGCAGUGAAAUGCGUAGAGAUCGGGAGGAACAUCAGUUGCGAAGGCGGCUCUCUGGACCAGCACUGACACUGAGGCACGAAAGCGUGGGGAGCAAACGGGG